rnacentral:rRNA from 1 species
UACGUAGGGGGCAAGCGUUGUCCGGAUUUAUUGGGCGUAAAGCGCUCGCAGGUGGUUCGAUGCGUCGUGCGUGAAAGACCCCGGCUCAACUGGGGGGUGUCGUGCGAUACGGUCGGACUGGAGGCCAGUAGGGGGAUGCGGAAUUCCGGGUGUAGUGGUGGAAUGCGUAGAGAUCCGGAGGAACACCAGCGGCGAAGGCGGCAUCCUGGACUGGUCCUGACACUCAUGAGCGAAAGCGUGGGGAGCGAACAGG